rnacentral:rRNA from 1 species
CUACGGGUCGCUCCAGUGGGGAAUACUGGACAAUGGGGGAAACCCUGAUCCAGCAAUGCCGCGUGUGUGAAGAAGGCCUGCGGGUUGUAAAGCACUUUCGGUUGGGAGGACUGCUUCUAGCACUAAUAUUGUUGGAAGUUGACGUUACCUUCAGAAGAAGCACCGGCUAACUCCGUGCCAGCAGCCGCGGUAAUACGGAGGGUGCAAGCGUUAAUCGGAAUUACUGGGCGUAAAGCGCGCGUAGGCGGCUAGAUCAGUCGGGUGUGAAAGCCCCGGGCUUAACCUGGGAACUGCAUCCGAUACUGUCUAGCUUGAGUACAGGAGAGGAGAGUGGAAUUCCACAUGUAGCGGUGAAAUGCGUAGAUAUGUGGAGGAACACCAAUGGCGAAGGCAGCUCUCUGGUCUGAUACUGACGCUGAGGUGCGAAAGCGUGGGGAACAAACAGGAUUAGAUACCCGUGUAGUC